rnacentral:rRNA from 1 species
UCCAGACUCCUACGGGAGGCAGCAGUGGGGAAUAUUGCACAAUGGGGGGAACCCUGAUGCAGCGACGCCGCGUGGGUGAAGGAGUACUUCGGUACGUAAAGCCCUAUCAGCAGGAAAGAAAAUGACGGUACCUGACUAAGAAGCCCCGGCUAACCACGUGCCAGCAGCCGCGGUAAUACGUAGGGGGCAAGCGUUAUCCGGAUUUACUGGGUGUAAAGGGGGCGCAGACGGCGAUGCAAGCCAGGAGUGAAAGCCCGGGGCCCAACCCCGGGACUGCUCUUGGAACUGCGUGGCUGGAGUGCAGGAGGGGCAGGCGGAAUUCCUAGUGUAGCGGUGAAAUGCGUAGAUAUUAGGAGGAACACCAGUGGCGAAGGCGGCUUACUGGACAGUAACUGACGUUGAGGCUCGAAAGCGUGGGGAGCAAACAGGAUUAGAUACCCCAGUA